rnacentral:rRNA from 1 species
GACAGAGGGGGCAAGCGUUGCUCGGAAUUACUGGGCGUAAAGGGCGCGUAGGCGGGAUGGCAAGUCGGUCGUGAAAUCCCUCGGCUCACCGAGGAACGUCGAUCGAUACUGCUGUUCUUGAGGAUUGCAGAGGAGAGUGGAAUUCCCGGUGUAGCAGUGAAAUGCGUAGAUAUCUGGAGGAACACCGGUGGCGAAGGCGGCGUUCUGGACUGCAACUGACACUGAGGAACGAAAGCCAGGGGAGCAAACGGG